rnacentral:tRNA from 1 species
UUUAGGGAGACCUACCCAACUCAGAAAUCGAAAACAAACAGUUAAUAGACAAUGAGAUGGUCUACUCUAGGUCGGUCGCAGGAUAUAGUUAAGGCUUUCAAACUAUGAUGAGGUUCAAACUCGGGCUAUUAGCUCAGGUGGUUAGAGCGCACCCCUGAUAAGGGUGAGGUCCCUGGUUCGAGUCCAGGAUGGCCCACCUGAAGAUAAUUAGUAAUUGCUAAUGCGUAAUUCGUAAUUAAUUACGAACUACGAAUUAAAAAUUACGAAUUAUUUUGAUGGGGGUUUAGCUCAGUUGGUAGAGCGCCUGCUUUGCAAGCAGGAUGUCAGCGGUUCGAGUCCGCUAACCUCCACAUUCUGACCAAAAAGAAGCAACAAGGAAAAAGCACGGAUAGCAAACAAAAGCUAAAAGUGUAGAAACUAGGGUUGUGUCUAGAUGGAGAAUGUGGGAAGAGAAGAGAAUCAGGAAAAGUUCAGCAAAAUGACUUAAGAAAAGUCAGACUGCUGGGUAAAAUCCAGCCAGAACCUUGAAAACUGCAUAGUAACGCGAAAUUAGCAGGCAGACACAGACAUUCAAAGAAGAGUCGUGUUUGUAGAAAGCAAAAGUAAAUGU